rnacentral:lncRNA from 1 species
AUGUGGUGUGAGGGAGACGGUAAUGUCAUGGGCCAAAAUUCUGUGUUGAAAAGUGUCAGUGUGCAGAUGUGCCCUGGAGAUGAACUGAACCAAGAGCUCACUGUCUUUCAGCAGGCGUGCUUGUCACUUUCCAGCUCCCCCGUGUUUGGGCAUACAAGCCAGUCUAUUCAUUUUUCUGCCCCUGUGAUCCUGGGUUUUCACCAGUACUGCUCCUCCUUUGUCUCAGCCACAUGCCACACUGACAGUAUCCUGUGCCAAGAAGACUCACAACAAUCUUCCCUUCUGAGAGAAGCUUCCUCAAGCAAGAAGACUUUAAAAAGGCGAAGGGGAGGUCAUAUUUUGUUUUCCAAUAUUUAAACUUCUUUCCAUAAUCUGUGGUCAGGAAUUUUUGCCUGAAGUUCAUCCAUAGGUUGGACUGUGAAGUGGCCUGAUUUGAGAACUCUCCCUGAUAGGAGUGGAAGGGUGCACCACACUCCACAUUGGCUCUUAGGACCGAUCAGAACCUUUCCUGCUCUCAGAGACAUUGGAUAGGAUUCAAGAGGAUAGCGAGACUCUCCAGCGAGAGAAAGUGUGCAAAACCGAGGCAUGAUUGAGACAGGCACGUUAACAGGAAGCCUGCUUUUGAAGAGUGUGGCUGGAGCGAAUGGAAUUGGUUUUGGACUGCUUGAGAUCCCUUUAAGUGAUAAAAAGGCUAAAUAAACGAAUUAAACAUAUUAUGCUGAAUAAACAACACGACGUUAUACAAAUCGCGCAAUAUUCACACGCAUACCUAACAGCCCCUGAGAGGCCUGCUGGUCGGGGCUCAGAGUCUCUACACCAGACUGAAAAAUCUUCCAGCUUCUUUAAAAAAUGUGUAAUUCUGCUUCUAUUCCUAGGUGCCACAUUUGUUUCUUUUCCUUUCCAUCUCAAUACUGUUUAAUAUGCAUCUUUUUGUUUGUAUGUGUUCCAACAAAGUGUGUGAUUGCUUUGUGUACACGUGUGCAUGCUAAGUCGCUUCAGUAGUGUCCAACUCUGCGACCCUAUGGACUGUAGCUCGCCAGACUCCUCCACCCAUGGAAUUUCCCAGGCAAGAGUACUGGAGUGAUUUCAGGGACGCUUCCUGACCCAGGGGUUGAACUCGAGUCUUUUAAGUCUCCUGCAUUGGCAGGCAGGUCCUUUACCACUAGUGCCACCUGAGAAGUAUACAUGUGUUUUUAAGGUAUACAUGUGUUUGUGUGAAUGCUGUUCCUAUCUUAUCCUGUUGCUCAAUCUUCUCUUAGCACAUCAUUUUAAAGACCCAUUUCUGCUCUCAUGGUUUAACUGCUACCUAAGAUUCCGUGGUAUUCAUCCAUCAUGUUUUCUCUAGCCGCUUUCUUGAGAAUGGGCACCUAGAUGGCCCCCAAACCCAUGCUGCUGCUGCUAAGUCGCUUCAGUCGUGUCCGACUCUGUGC